rnacentral:tRNA from 1 species
AGUGGAUUAGUUCAAUGGCAGAACAUUGCUUUGUGGAAUCGUCUCAACAAUUCAGCAAAAAUGGGAGUUCGAUUCUCCCAUCUACGA